rnacentral:rRNA from 1 species
GACGAACGCUGGCGGCGUGCCUAAUACAUGCAAGUAGAACGCUGAAGAGAGGAGCUUGCUCUUCUUGGAUGAGUUGCGAACGGGUGAGUAACGCGUAGGUAACCUGCCUUUUAGCGGGGGAUAACUAUUGGAAACGAUAGCUAAUACCGCAUAACAAUGGAUGACACAUGUCAUUUAUUUGAAAGGGGCAAUUGUUCCACUACAAGAUGGACCUGCGUUGUAUUAGCUAGUAGGUGAGGUAAUGGCUCACCUAGGCGACGAUACAUAGCCGACCUGAGAGGGUGAUCGGCCACACUGGGACUGAGACACGGCCCAGACUCCUACGGGAGGCAGCAGUAGGGAAUCUUCGGCAAUGGGGGCAACCCUGACCGAGCAACGCCGCGUGAGUGAAGAAGGUUUUCGGAUCGUAAAGCUCUGUUGUAAGUCAAGAACGGGUGUGAGAGUGGAAAGUUCACACUGUGACGGUAGCUUACCAGAAAGGGACGGCUAACUACGUG